rnacentral:rRNA from 1 species
ACCAGGUGAUCUAUCCAUGAGCAGGGUGAAGUAAAGGUAAUACUUUAUGGAGGCCCGAACCAGUAAACGUUGUAAAGUUUUUGGAUGACUUGUGGAUAGCGGUGAAAUUCCAAACGAACCUGGAUAUAGCUGGUUCUCCCCGAAAUNNNNNGGAUGUUGGCUUAGAAGCAGCCAUCAUUUAACGAGUGCGUAACAGCUCACAAGUCGAGGGAUUCUGCGCCGAAAAUUUAACGGGGCUAAAACAUAUUACCGAAGCUAUGAAUUUAUGCAUUAAAUUGCGUGAGUGGUAGGGGAGCGUUCCAUACUGGGAUGAAGUCAGACCGUGAGGACUGGUGGACUGUAUGGAAGUGAGAAUGCCGGCGUGAGUAUCGAUUGGAGGUGAGAAUCCUCCACGCCGAUUGAGCAAGGUUUCCUGGGGAAGGUUCGUCCUCCUAGGGUUAGUCGGGACCUAAGGCGAGGCCGAAAGGCGUAGUCGAUGGACAACGGGUUGAUAUUCCCGUACCGACGUAUAGAGGGAUGGAAUGACGGAGAAGGCUAAGUAAAGCACGCGAUCGGAAGUGCGUGUCUAAGCAGAUGAGGUGUCAGUGUAGGUAAAUCCGCACUGUGAUACAUUGAGCUGUGAUGGGGAGCGAAACCUUAGGGUAGUAGCGAAGUUACUGAUGUCAUGCUUCCAAGAAAAGUUUCUACUGUUAAUCUAUACGUUGCCCGUACCCAUAACCAACACAGGUGCUCAAGGAGAAUAUCCUAAGGCGAGCGAGAUAAUUGGAGCUAAGGAACUCGGCAAAAUAACCCCGUAAGUUAGCGAGAAGGGGUGCUGGUAGUGCUUGCACGUAAGCCAGCCGCAGAAAAGAGGUCCAGCCAACUGUUUAUCAAAAACACAGCUCUCUGCUAAAACGUAAGUUGAAGUAUAGGGGGUGACGCCUGCCCGGUGCCCGAAGGUUAAGGGAAUCUGUUAGCAUUAGCGAAGCAGUGAACUGAAGCCCGGGUGAACGGCGGCUGUAACUAUAACGGUCCUAAGGUAGCGAAAUUCAUUGUCAGGUAAGUUCUGACCCGCACGAAUGGUGUAAUGAUCUGGACGCUGUCUCGGCUUCAAGCUCGGUGAAAUCUUAGUCCCUGUGAAAAUGCAGGGUAGACGCAGUAAGACAAUAAGACCCCGUGAAGCUUUACUACAACUUCAUAUUGGGUUUUGAUACAACAUGUACAGGAUAGGAAGGAGACUUUGAAGCUAGGACGCCAGUUCUAGUGGAGUCGCCGUUGGGAUACUUCUCUUGUUGUAUUGGAACUCUAACUCGCACCCCUUAUCGGGGUGGAGGACAGUGUGUGGUGGGUAGUUUGACUGGGGCGGUCGCCUCCUAAAAAGUAACGGAGGCGCACAAAGUUACACUCAACACGGUCGGAAAUCGUGUGUAGAGCGCAAAAGUAAAAGUGUGAUUGACUGUGAGGCUUACAAGCCGAACAGGUACGAAAGUAGGUUUUAGUGAUCCGCCGGUUCUGUAUGGAAAGGCCGGCGCUCAACGGAUAAAAGUUACUCCGGGGAUAACAGGCUUAUCUCCCCCAAGAGUUCACAUCGACGGGGAGGUUUGGCACCUCGAUGUCGGCUCAUCACAUCCUGGGGCUGGAGCAGGUCCCAAGGGUAUGGCUGUUCGCCAUUUAAAGUGGUACGUGAGCUGGGUUUAAAACGUCGUGAGACAGUUUGGUCCCUAUCUGCCGUGGGCGUUGGAAGUUUGAGUGGACCUGCUCCUAGUACGAGAGGACCGNNNNNAGGUUGUCCUGCCAAGGGCACGGCCGAGUAGCUAUGUAUGGAAUCGAUAAGAACUGAAAGCAUCUAAGUUCGAAGCGAACUCCAAGACUAGAAUUCCCACUCUUUAU